AGUGAACGCUGGCGGUAGGCCUAACACAUGCAAGUCGAACGGCAGCACAGUAAGAGCUUGCUCUUACGGGUGGCGAGUGGCGGACGGGUGAGGCAUACAUCGGAAUCUACUUUUUCGUGGGGGAUAACGUAGGGAAACUUACGCUAAUACCUCAUACGACCUACGGGUGAAAGCAGGGGAUCUUCGGACCUUGCGCGAUUGAAUGAGCCGAUGUCGGAUUAGCUAGUUGGCGGGGUAACGGCCCACCAAGGCGACGAUACGUAGCAGGUCUGAGAGGAUGAUCGGCCACACUGGAACUGAGACACGGUCCAGACUCCUACGGGAGGCAGCAGUGGGGAAUAUUGGACAAUGGGCGCAAGCCUGAUCCAGCCAUACCGCGUGGGUGAAGAAGGCCUUCGGGUUGUAAAGCCCUUUUGUUGGGAAAGAACAGCAGCAGGUUAAUACCCCGCUGUUCUGACGGUACCCAAAGAAUAAGCACCGGCUAACUUCGUG
rnacentral:rRNA from 1 species